rnacentral:rRNA from 1 species
GGAAACUGGGGCUAAUACCGGAUGGCUCGCAUCUCUCGCAUGGGGGGUGUGGGAAAGGUUCUCUCCUGUGAGGGGGGGUUCCGGCCUGGGAGGGGCUCGCGGCCCAUCAGCUUGUUGGUGCGGUGAGGGCGUACCAAGGCGAUGACGGGUAGCCGGCCUGAGAGGGUGAUCGGCCACACUGGGACUGAGACACGGCCCAGACUCCUACGGGAGGCAGCAGUGGGGAAUUUUGCGCAAUGGGCGGAAGCCUGACGCAGCGACGCCGUGUGGGGGAGGACGGCCUUCGGGUUGUAAACCCCUUUCGGCCCUGACGAAUGUGACGGUAGGGGCUAAAGAAGCGCCGGCUAACUACGUGCCAGCAGCCGCGGUAAUACGUAGGGCGCGAGCGUUGUCCGGAUUUACUGGGCGUAAAGGGCUCGUAGGCGGUUUGUCGCGUCGGUCGUGGAAAUGUGCGGCUUAACCGGGCACGUGCGGCCGAUACGGGCAGACUCGAGGGCGGUAGGGGCAAGCGGAAUUCCUGGUGUAGCGGUGAAAUGCGCAGAUAUCAGGAGGAACACCGAUGGCGAAGGCAGCUUGCUGGGCCGUUCCUGACGCUGAGGAGCGAAAGCAU